CCGUGGGAGCUGAGCCCUGGGGGUGCCUGGCAGUAGGAGCCCCAUAUAGAGGCCUCGCAAGGUCCAGCUGCCUGGGGAACUCUGCACCUGCCCGGCCCUGGGCCACCGCUGGCAAGACCCUCCUGGACUCAGAUUUGUGAGCUUCGGGCUUUUCUUCCAUCUCUGGGGGGACAACCUCAGGUCCAGAGUCUGCUGCUGGGUGGCGGUGGGGAUGAUUUGCCCCCACAUGACCUGAGCAGAAGAGGGGCAGACAGAAUGCCCUCCGCUGGACCAUGUGGACACCUUUCCUGGGGUUCCGAGUUCCUGACUCACCUGUGACCCUCCUCUAGCAAAGAGAAGAGCCAGCUGCAGUGGCGCCAAUUCUGCAGCCCCGAGCCUCAAAUUUACCACUUACCUGUGUGUGGUUGAGGGCACAGCACCUUGCCUCCCUCUGCACCUCCCUUCCCUUCUCUGUAGGAUGCAGAUUAUCUUUAUGAUACGGGACUCUGGAGAGUGACACAUGGGUUGACAUGCAGGGCUGAACGCAGACGUGUCCCUGGGUCACCUGCUGCGUUUGGCUUCACAGUGCCUUCUAUGUUACACAGUUGCUAUUGCCUCUUUCCCCAGCAACAUUUUGGGCCACAUCCUUCCACCUGCCACCUCUGCGGCUCCACUGCCUGCUCGCACCUUUGUGCCCAGAGAUUUCUGCAUUUCCCUUGUGUUGCUAAGCCAGACACCCCUAAUCUCCAAGACUGCUCAGCAGUUGGGGGGCUGGGGUCACCCAGAACUGGCUCACUCUAACACAACCGGUCCCAGCACCAUCACCCCAGCAGGCUGUGAGCACUUAGUUAAGGUAAAACCUCAUUGGUUUCCUGGCCCUUUGAGCUCAGAUUGACAUCUUUUUUGUCACCGUGGAUUUCACUGGAGUGGACCUUGGAGUGCAAGCUUAGCCACGGCUGGGUUUUGGAGAGAUAUAAACUGAUCCGCGUGGCAGAGAUGCUUCAUUUUCUGGAAUCGUACAGAACAUUGUUCCAAAGAUGAGUGUGCUGAGACUUCGGUUCUGGAGUGCCAAUGAGUGUAGUAUGAAAAGACAGCUGAGGUCCAAUAACGUCAGGAAAAGUGGAGUGAAAGAUAAACAGGGAAUUGUGAAGAAUCUGUGUCCCUGUCAUCUCUCUUGGGCCACCCCUGCCCUGUAUGUAUCACGCCUGUCUGAAAUGGGCACAUUUCAGGUCUUUCCUAUUUCAUCUGUACCUUCCCGAGUAAGCACAACCUCAAGCAUUAAGGCAUUUACCCCUGAUUUCACAUGAUGAGAACUUCUGGGUUACCUCUGCCAAACAGGAAAACACAUUUUAAUUUUUCCAAAACAGUGAAAGAAAAAACAAAAAUGCUUCCUAAGCCUAUGACUAAAAUUAUUUUAUGAGAUAUUUUCAACCUUUAAAAUAAGUAUGACUCUAAUGUUCUGUUUCUUCUGGGCGUCGUUCUCACCCCCGGAACAAGAGGGAGGUGGAAAGGGGAUCCUCGCGGGAUCUGCUCUCCGGAGAACUUGUCCUCCUGCAGGGUGGGCGAAGGCACGUUAAGGAGCAUGACAGAUACUCCUGGGCCCUUCAAUCUU